rnacentral:rRNA from 1 species
UAGGGAAUCUUCCGCAAUGGGCGAAAGCCUGACGGAGCAACGCCGCGUGAGUGAUGAAGGUCUUCGGAUCGUAAAACUCUGUUAUUAGGGAAGAACAAAUGUGUAAGUAACUAUGCACGUCUUGACGGUACCUAAUCAGAAAGCCACGGCUAACUACGUGCCAGCAGCCGCGGUAAUAUGUAGGUGGCAAGCGUUAUCCGGAAUUAUUGGGCGUAAAGCGCGCGUAGGCGGUUUUUUAAGUCUGAUGUGAAAGCCCACGGCUCAACCGUGGAGGGUCAUUGGAAACUGGAAAACUUGAGUGCAGAAGAGGAAAGUGGAAUUCCAUGUGUAGCGGUGAAAUGCGCAGAGAUAUGGGGGAACACCAGUGGCGAAGGCGACUUUCUGGUCUGUAACUGACGCUGAUGUGCGAAAGCGUGGGGAUCAAACAGG